CCUACGGGGCGCAGCAGUGAGGAAUAUUGGUCAAUGGACGCAAGUCUGAACCAGCCAAGCCGCGUGAAGGAUGACGGCUCUAUGAGUUGUAAACUGCUUUUGUACGAGGGUAAACCCCGAUACGUGUAUCGGGUUGAAAGUAUCGUACGAAUAAGGAUCGGCUAACUCCGUGCCAGCAGCCGCGGUAAUACGGAGGAUCCGAGCGUUAUCCGGAUUUAGUGGGUUUAAAGGGUGCGUAGGCGGUUUGAUAAGUUAGUUGUGAAAUGUCGGGGCUCAACCCCGAAACUGCCUCUAAUACUGUCGGACUAGAGAAUAGUUGCGGUAGGCGGAAUGUAUGGUGUAGCGGUGAAAUGCUUAGAGAUCAUACAGAACACCGAUUGCGAAGGCAGCUUACCAAACUAUAACUGACGUUGAGGCACGAAAGUGUGGGUAGCAAACAGGAUUAGAUACCCCGGUAGUC
rnacentral:rRNA from 1 species